rnacentral:rRNA from 1 species
AGUGAACGCUGGCGGUAGGCCUAACACAUGCAAGUCGAACGGCAGCACAGUAAGAGCUUGCUCUUACGGGUGGCGAGUGGCGGACGGGUGAGGCAUACAUCGGAAUCUACUUUUUCGUGGGGGAUAACGUAGGGAAACUUACGCUAAUACCUCAUACGACCUACGGGUGAAAGCAGUGGAUCUUCGGACCUUGCGCGAUUGAAUGAGCCGAUGUCGGAUUAGCUAGUUGGCGGGGUAAAGGCCCACCAAGGCGACGAUCCGUAGCUGGUCUGAGAGGAUGAUCAGCCACACUGGAGCUGAGACACGGUCCAGACUCCUACGGGAGGCAGCAGUGGGGAAUAUUGGACAAUGGGCGCAAGCCUGAUCCAGCCAUACCGCGUGGGUGAAGAAGGCCUUCGGGUUGUAAAGCCCUUUUGUUGGGAAAGAAAAGCAGCAGGUUAAUACCCCGCUGUUCUGACGGUACCCAAAGAAUAAGCACCGGCUAACUUCGUG